AUGGCUGCUUUCAUCCUCUUCCUCUGCUUGCUCGUGCCGCUCGUCCUCGCGUGCGCCGUCCGCGCCAGGAAGGGCGCCGCCGGGCGGGCGUCGUCGGGCGGCGGCGGCAAAAAGGGCGGCACCAGCCUGCCGCUGCCGCCGGGGUCGAUGGGGUGGCCGUACGUGGGCGAGACCACGCAGCUCUACUCCUCCAAGAACCCCAACGUCUUCUUCGCCAGGAAGCGGAACAAGUACGGGCCCAUCUUCAAGACGCACAUCCUCGGGUGCCCCUGCGUCAUGGUGUCCAGCCCGGAGGCCGCCAAGUUCGUGCUCGUCACUCAGGCGCACCUCUUCAAGCCUACCUUCCCGGCCAGCAAGGAGCGGAUGCUGGGCCCCCAGGCCAUCUUCUUCCAGCAGGGGGACUACCAUGCCCACCUCCGCCGUCUCGUCUCACGCGCCUUCUCUCCCGAGGCCAUCCGCGGUUCCGUCCCUGCCAUCGAGGCUAUCGCCCUCCGCUCCCUCGGCUCCUGGGAAGACCUGCAAGUCAACACCUUCCAAGAGAUGAAGACUUACGCUCUGAAUGUGGCAUUGCUGUCCAUCUUCGGCGAGGAGGAGAUGCAGUACAUCGAGGAGCUGAAGCAGUGCUACCUGACGCUGGAGAAGGGGUACAACUCGAUGCCGGUGAACCUGCCGGGCACGCUGUUCCACAAGGCCAUGAAGGCCCGAAAGCGGCUGGGCGCCAUUGUGGCCCACAUCAUCUCGGCCCGGCGCGAGCGCGAGCGCGGGAGCGACCUCCUGGGCUCCUUCAUGGACGGCCGCGAGGCGCUCACCGACGACCAGAUCGCCGACAACGCCAUCGGCGUCAUCUUCGCCGCGCGCGACACCACCGCCAGCGUGCUCACGUGGAUGGUCAAGUUCCUCGGCGACAACCCCGCCGUCCUCAAAGCCGUCACCGAAGAGCACGCUGAGAUCGCGAGGGAGAAGGCGUUGUCCGGCGAGCCACUGUCGUGGGCCGACACGCGGCGGAUGCGGAUGACGGGCCGGGUGAUCCAGGAGACGAUGCGGGUGGCGUCCAUCCUCUCCUUCACCUUCAGGGAGGCCGUGGAGGACGUGGAGUACCAAGGGUACCUGAUUCCCAAGGGCUGGAAAGUGCUUCCCCUGUUCCGGAACAUCCACCACAACCCCGACCACUUCCCCUCCCCUGAAAAGUUCGAUCCUUCACGAUUCGAGGUGGCCCCCAAGCCCAACACGUUCAUGCCGUUCGGGAACGGGACCCACUCGUGCCCCGGCAACGAGCUGGCCAAGCUGGAGAUGCUCGUCCUCUGCCACCACCUCGCCACCAAGUACAGAUGGUCCACCUCCAAGUCCGAGAGCGGCGUCCAGUUCGGCCCCUUCGCCCUCCCCAUCAACGGCCUCCCCAUGACCUUCACCCGCAAGGACGACAAGAACAAAGCCUGA
rnacentral:rRNA from 1 species